rnacentral:rRNA from 1 species
GACGAACGCUGGCGGCGUGCUUAACACAUGCAAGUCGAACGGUAAGGCCCUUCGGGGUACACGAGUGGCGAACGGGUGAGUAACACGUGGGUGAUCUGCCCUGCACUUCGGGGUAAGCCUGGGAAACUGGGUCUAAUACCGGAUAGGACCCUGGGAUGCAUGUCCUGGGGUGGAAAGCUUUUGCGGUGUGGGAUGGGCCCGCGGCCUAUCAGCUUGUUGGUGGGGUGAUGGCCUACCAAGGCGACGACGGGUAGCCGGCCUGAGAGGGUGACCGGCCACACUGGGACUGAGAUGCGGCCCAGACUCCUACGGGAGGCAGCAGUGGGGGAUAUUGCACAAUGGGCGCAAGCCUGAUGCAGCGACGCCGCGUGAGGGAUGACGGCCUUCGGGUUGUAAACCUCUUUCAGCACCGACGAAGCGCAAGUGACGGUAGGUGCAGAAGAAGGACCGGCCAACUACGUGCCAGCAGCCGCCGUAA